rnacentral:rRNA from 1 species
GGUGCUUGCACCUUUCAAGCGAGUGGCGAACGGGUGAGUAACACGUGGAUAACCUGCCUCAAGGCUGGGGAUAACAUUUGGAAACAGAUGCUAAUACCGAAUAAAACUUAGUAUCGCAUGAUAUCAAGUUAAAAGGCGCUACGGCGUCACCUAGAGAUGGAUCCGCGGUGCAUUAGUUAGUUGGUGGGGUAAAGGCUUACCAAGACGAUGAUGCAUAGCCGAGUUGAGAGACUGAUCGGCCACAUUGGGACUGAGACACGGCCCAAACUCCUACGGGAGGCUGCAGUAGGGAAUCUUCCACAAUGGGCGCAAGCCUGAUGGAGCAACGCCGCGUGUGUGAUGAAGGCUUUCGGGUCGUAAAGCACUGUUGUAUGGGAAGAAAUGCUAAAAUAGGGAAUGAUUUUAGUUUGACGGUACCAUACCAGAAAGGGACGGCUAAAUACGUGCCAGCAGCCGCGGUAAUACGUAUGUCCCGAGCGUUAUCCGGAUUUAUUGGGCGUAAAGCGAGCGCAGACGGUUGAUUAAGUCUGAUGUGAAAGCCCGGAGCUCAACUCCGGAAUGGCAUUGGAAACUGGUUAACUUGAGUGUUGUAGAGGUAAGUGGAACUCCAUGUGGAAAC